rnacentral:rRNA from 1 species
UGGGGAAUAUUGCACAAUGGGCGCAAGCCUGAUGCAGCCAUGCCGCGUGUGUGAAGAAGGCCUUCGGGUUGUAAAGCACUUUCAGCGGGGAGGAAGGCGUUAAGGUUAAUAAUCUUGGCGAUGGACGUUACCUGCAGAAGAAGCACCGGCUAACUCCGUGCCAGCAGCCGCGGUAAUACGGAGGGUGCAAGCGUUAAUCGGAAUUACUGGGCGUAAAGCGUACGCAGGCGGUCUGUCAAGUCGGAUGUGAAAUCCCCGGGCUCAACCUGGGAACUGCAUUCGAAACUGGCAGGCUAGAGUCUUGUAGAGGGGGGUAGAAUUCCAGGUGUAGCGGUGAAAUGAGUAGAGAUCUGGAGGAAUAACGGUGGGGAAGGAGGCCCCCUAGACAAAGGCUGACGCUCAGGUGCGAAAGCGUGGGGAGCAAACAGG